AAGCCGAGCUGGUCUGGAUUCCCACCAUGGCCUGGGCCGCGCUCCUCGUGGUGCUCACGUACUGUUCAGGUUCCCUUGCCGAGUACGUGCUGACGCAGCCGCCCGCAGUGUCUGUGUCUCCAGGACAAACUGCUCACAUCACGUGCAGUGGAGAGAAGCUUAACAAGAAGUAUGCGCACUGGUACCAGCAGAAACCUGGCAGCGUCCCCCGACUUCUUAUAUACAAGGAUACAGAGAGACCCUCUGAUGUCCCUGACCGAUUCUCUGGGGCCAGCUCUGGUAUCACAGCCACACUGACCAUCGCUGGAGUCCAAGCCCAGGACGAGGCUGAUUAUUACUGUCUGAGUAGUGAUGACAGUAACACUCCUCACAGUGACACCGGGCAAUGGGGAAGCAUCUGUGCAGGAGCCAGCACAGCAGCCUCACGGCAGUGGGGACAGGGCUGUGAGGAGCCAGGUCCUAACACAGAAGGGCAGCAGUCCUCAGUCAGUGAGAGCAGCAGGAAGAGCUGGGCCCUGAUGUGA